rnacentral:lncRNA from 1 species
CUCCAAUCUCAAAUAACAGCCCCGACAACCAAUACAUGAGCCUUAGACACUGAGUUGUCACUUGAAGAUUCAACUACCUCUUCAUUCAACACACAAGACCAGAGAGCUAACUCCCUUCCCUAACACCACACACCAAAGAAGAGAAGGAGAACUUUGCAAAUCAGGACUAUCAUAGAUGAAUCCAGCUUAUAGGCCAGAAGGUUUUAAAAACAGCAUGGUACUGGUACCAAAACAAAUAU